rnacentral:lncRNA from 1 species
AUGGUCAGUAACCAGCUGGUGAAAUACAAUGAUUCAGAGAAGGAAGCAACACACACGAGUCUGUGCUUAUCUUUUUCAGAGCAGCUGAUCCUACUGGGUCAGACACAGUGUUCCGUGAUCACAACUACACUGCCUCCAGGGUCAGCACUAGAAGAGGUGAAAACAGAUGGACCUUGGCCACACCAGCAAGACAAGUUUGCUAAUUUCUGUCAGAUGCAUGGAGCACUGCUAUCUUGUUAUGCCACCCCAUGGAAGCGUAAGGAAUGGAUUCAUGUGUUUGUGGAAAAUAGUUGUGUUAGUAGGUAGGGAAAGAUGAAAAUGAGAUCCCAGAUUGGUAUUUUAUGUUAGUAAGCAUUGUUAAAGUUACAGAUGUGGUUGUUCAGUGUUUGUUUUUGUUGUUGUGUUGUUCUUUUUUAAGUAACUAUUUUAUGUAGAGACCUCUUGCUGUAGACAAUUCAGUUUUAUUUCCAUUGUUUAGUUUUUAUGUUAUUAUUUACAAUAGGGAGUGUAAGAAGAGCAAAACGUUACUUCAGCACCUAAGACAUUUAAGGAAGAGUGAAAGCAAUAACAGUGUUGUUCAGAAAAAGCCUAUUUGGUCUCUGUUCUUCCUUAAUACCCAGAAGAAAAGCAGCCGUGACAAUUUAAUGGAUUUUACUGUCAGAAUAAAAUUCCUAUUAAUAUGAGAAAACUGGGAACA